rnacentral:lncRNA from 1 species
CUCAUGUAUUGUCUGCAUUGCCUGCUCAACUGUAAAGGUUGUUAAGGCAGAAGGUUUAUCUCAGUCACCACUGAGUCCUCUCUCCUACCUUGCACAUGGGAGGCACUCAUUAAGGCUUUGGGAAAGUGAGCAAGAAAUGGACAAGUGAAUCCAGUGAGAAGACCUCUGAGACCUCAGACCUGCCCACACAUCAGGAAUUACAUUCAAACAUGAGGAAGCUGGCUUUCAAACAAGCUCCGAAUCACACAACUUGGAGAAGUGGUUGACAGCUCAGGUGCGGAGCCAGAUGCCUGGGAACUAGUCUCAUUCUGCACCUUCCCUGCUGUGUACCUUGGACCUGUUACUUAAUUAACAUUUGGGUUCCUUGACUUUCUCAUCUCUAAAAUAAAUGAAAGUUGUACAGGCUAAAUGAAAUGAAUUCAUUUUAAACUCUUAGCACAUGUUAAACCCUGUGUGAUUUGCUGUUUUUAGCAUCAUAUUCUUUUUUACUGAUUGAUUGAUAUGGAGUUUCACUCUU